UGGUGCCAGCAGCCGCGGUAAUUCCAGCUCCAAUAGCGUAUAUUAAAGUUGUUGCAGUUAAAAAGCUCGUAGUUGAAUUUCGGGGUUAGUAGGUUGGUCAUGCCUCUGGUAUGUACUGGUCUCACUGAUUCCUCCUUCCUUAUGAACCGUAAUGCCAUUAAUUUGGUGUUGCGGGGAAUUUGGACUGUUACUUUGAAAAAAUUAGAGUGUUUAAAGCAAGCUAACGCUUGAAUACAUUAGCAUGGAAUAAUGAAAUAGGACGUUCGAUCUUAUUUUGUUGGUUUCUAGGAUUGACGUAAUGAUUAAUAGGGAUAAUUGGGGGCAUUAGUAUUCAAUUGUCAGAGGUGAAAUUCUUGGAUUUAUUGAAGACUAACUACUGCGAAAGCAUUUGCCAAGGAUGUUUUCAUUAAUCAAGAACGAAAGUUAGGGGAUCGAAGACGAUCAGAUACCGUCGUAGUCUUAACCAUAAACUAUGCCGACUAGGGA
rnacentral:rRNA from 1 species